UACAGAGGGUGCGAGCGUUGUUCGGAAUUAUUGGGCGUAAAGGGCGCGUAGGCGGUGCGGUAAGUCACCUGUGAAACCUCUGGGCUUAACUCAGAGCCUGCAGGCGAAACUACCGUGCUGGAGUGUGGGAGAGGUGCGUGGAAUUCCCGGUGUAGCGGUGGAAUGCGCAGAUAUCAGGAGGAACACCGGUGGCGAAGGCGGGUCUCUGGGCAGUAACUGACGCUGAGGAGCGAAAGCGUGGGGAGCGAACAGG
rnacentral:rRNA from 1 species